rnacentral:tRNA from 1 species
CCUGGUGGCUCAUCUGGUAGAGAAUCUGCCUGCAAUGCAGGAGACCCUGGUUUGAUUCCUGGGUCAGGA